rnacentral:lncRNA from 1 species
GUUAAUCUGGAUUAGUCUCAGAGCCCCUUAACCAGUCCUCCUAUCUCUAGGAUUGCCCUCAUUUUAUUUACUCUUUAUUUUUACUAGAGGGAACUUUUCUAAACCAAGGGCUAACUAACUAUGCUACUGUCUGUAUUUAAAUGCUUGUCAGUGACCCAGUGGCUUGCCAGGUCAUCAGAAUCUAGUCCCUAAUCUUUAGUAAAGCUUUGC